CCCCUCAUCAUAUGUGUCUUUAUGUUUUUCAACAUACUUCAGCCUACAAUCAUAAUCACAGAAAUUUUGUUUCAGCUAUUUCAAGAAAGUUUCAAAUUUUGAAAUAAAAAAUAACUAAGAAUAAUAGUUUGGCUAUGACAAUAUUACUUUAUAAAUAUCUUUGCCCAAAUGCAGUUACUUCAACCAAACUCAAGCCAUUCAUCCUUAUCUCUCUGGCAGAAGCUCUAUACUUUGAAAGUUAUAGUAACAAAGUAACUACAAAUAAAGCCAAAUGAUAAAAGAUAAAAUUGCUUAAGUAAAAAAUUCUAAUUAUUCUAUCUCUUCAUCAAGAGAACGCAACUAGACGGCGAUCAAAAUUAAUUUAUUCUCAUGCAUUUCUACCACUAUUCUAGUGUGAUUGUUUCGAGUUGUACACCGUUAUUUUUGUCAACUGCCGUGUGGUGGCAUUCAGAUAUCGGUGACCGCGUAGUGUGGGAUGCUUGAACAAGUUGUGUUCUCUUGAUGAACAAUAUAUAAGAUAUUUGUAUCUUUUACCAUUAACAAAAGUACUAACUGGAUUCUAAAACAUUUGUUCUUAGUGAAUAUCAAAUAAUAGCACCAUAUUAUU